rnacentral:rRNA from 1 species
GACAGAGGGGGCAAGCGUUGCUCGGAAUCACUGGGCGUAAAGGGCGCGUAGGCGGGAUGGCAAGUCAGUCGUGAAAUCUCUCGGCUCAACCGAGAAACGUCGGCUGAUACUGCCGUUCUUGAGGGAUGCAGAGGAGACUGGAAUUCCCGGUGUAGCGGUGAAAUGUGUAGAGAUCGGGAGGAACACCGGUGGCGAAGGCGGGUCUCUGGGCAUCUCCUGACGCUGAGGCGCGAAAGCGUGGGGAGCAUACGGG